CACCUCUCAGGGUCACACCUGGAGAGUUUGCAGUACUUUACCAGUCUCGACUAUGGGAGGGAGAGUCAGGCAGAGGCAUAUCCAUUCCAUUCCUAGCUUGGGCAGCGGCUAGCAAAUAGAAGGCAGACUGCUACAAGU